rnacentral:rRNA from 1 species
GAUGAACGCUAGCGGGAGGCCUAAUACAUGCAAGUCGAACGGUAAGGUCCCUUCGGGGAUACACGAGUGGCGGACGGGUGCGUAACGCGUACGAAACAUACCUUCAACAGGGAGAUACCUCCGGGAAACUGGAAAUAAUACCCCAUAGUAUUGAGAUAUCGCAUGAUAUUUCAAUUAAAGCUUUGGCGGUUGAAGAUUGUCGUGCGUCUGAUUAGCUAGUUGGUGAGGUAAAGGCUCACCAAGGCGACGAUCUGUAGCGGGUCUGAGAGGAUGAUCCGCCACACUGGAACUGAGACACGGUCCAGACUCCUACGGGAGGCAGCAGUGGGGAAUUUUGGACAAUGGGCGCAAGCCUGAUCCAGCCAUGCCGCGUGAGUGAAGAAGGCCUCGGUUGUAAGUAC